CGCAGCUGUCUUUUCCGGCCCCCGUGUACUCUCCGCCCGAGGCGGAGCCCCCUGGCUCGCGGGGAUCGCCCCCGAGCGCUGCGUCCUGCGGGUCACCUAACCCAUUUGUGGCUUCCUCUACCUGUGCUCAGUCAUGGCCAGCGAGAGCUCACCUCUGCUGGCCUACCGGCUCCUGGGGGAGGAGGGGGCUGCCCUCCCUGCCAAUGGGGCCGGGGGUCCUGGAGGGGCGUCUGCCCGGAAGCUGUCCACCUUCCUGGGUGUGGUGGUGCCCACUGUCCUGUCCAUGUUCAGCAUAGUUGUUUUUCUGAGGAUUGGGUUCGUGGUGGGUCAUGCUGGGCUACUGCAGGCCCUGGCCAUGCUGCUGGUUGCCUACUUCAUCCUGGCACUUACCGUCCUCUCUGUCUGUGCCAUCGCCACCAAUGGAGCCGUGCAGGGGGGCGGAGCCUACUUCAUGAUCAGCCGCACACUGGGGCCCGAGGUCGGGGGCAGCAUUGGGCUCAUGUUCUACCUGGCUAACGUCUGUGGCUGUGCCGUCUCCCUCCUGGGGCUGGUGGAGUCUGUGCUUGAUGUCUUCGGGGCCGGUCUGUGCUCUGUCCGAUCUGGGCAGUGCUGCGGGUUUACAGGGUCUGGGAGUGUGGGAUCAUGAGGGAGAAGGUCCUCUCCAGGAGAGGG
rnacentral:sRNA from 1 species